rnacentral:rRNA from 1 species
GAUGAACGCUGGCGGCGUGCUUAACACAUGCCAGUCGAACGAUGAAGCCCAGCUUGCUGGGUGGAUUAGUGGCGAACGGGUGAGUAACACGUGAGUAACCUGCCCUUAACUCUGGGAUAAGCCUGGGAAACUGGGUCUAAUACCGGAUAGGAGCGUCCACCGCAUGGUGGGUGUUGGAAAGAUUUAUCGGUUUUGGAUGGACUCGCGGCCUAUCAGCUUGUUGGUGAGGUAAUGGCUCACCAAGGCGACGACGGGUAGCCGGCCUGAGAGGGUGACCGGCCACACUGGGACUGAGACACGGCCCAGACUCCUACGGGAGGCAGCAGUGGGGAAUAUUGCACAAUGGGCGCAAGCCUGAUGCAGCGACGCCGCGUGAGGGAUGACGGCCUUCGGGUUGUAAACCGCUUUCGGUAGGGAAGAAGCGAAAGUGACGGUACCUGCAGAAGAAGCACCGGCUAACUACGUG